AACGAACGCUGGCGGCAGGCUUAACACAUGCAAGUCGAGCGCCCCGCAAGGGGAGCGGCAGACGGGUGAGUAACGCGUGGGAACGUACCCUUUGCUACGGAAUAGCUCCGGGAAACGGGAAUUAAUACCGUAUGUGCCCUACGGGGGAAAGAUUUAUCGGCAAAGGAUCGGCCCGCGUUGGAUUAGCUAGUUGGUGGGGUAAUGGCCUACCAAGGCGACGAUCCAUAGCUGGUCUGAGAGGAUGAUCAGCCACAUUGGGACUGAGACACGGCCCAAACUCCUACGGGAGGCAGCAGUGGGGAAUAUUGGACAAUGGGCGCAAGCCUGAUCCAGCCAUGCCGCGUGAGUGAUGAAGGCCUUAGGGUUGUAAAGCUCUUUCACCGGAGAAGAUAAUGACGGUAUCCGGAGAAGAAGCCCCGGCUAACUUCGUGCCAGCUGCCGCAGUAAUAC
rnacentral:rRNA from 1 species